rnacentral:rRNA from 1 species
GAUGAACGCUGGCGGCGUGCUUAACACAUGCAAGUCGAACGAAGCAUUUGCGCCAGAUUUUUUCGGAAUGAAGUUGCUUAUGACUGAGUGGCGGACGGGUGAGUAACGCGUGGGUAACCUGCCUUGUACUGGGGGAUAGCAGCUGGAGACGGCUGGUAAUACCGCAUAAGCGCACAAUGUUGCAUGACAUGGUGUGAAAAACUCCGGUGGUAUAAGAUGGACCCGCGUCUGAUUAGCUAGUUGGUGAGAUAACAGCCCACCAAGGCGACGAUGAGUAGCCGACCUGAGAGGGUGACCGGCCACAUUGGGACUGAGACACGGCCCAGACUCCUACGGGAGGCAGCAGUGGGGAAUAUUGCACAAGGGAGGAAACUCUGAUGCAGCGACGCCGCGUGAGUGAAGAAGUAAUUCGUUAUGUAAAGCUCUAUCAGCAGGGAAGAUAGUGACGGUACCUGACUAAGAAGCUCCGGCUAAAUACGUG